rnacentral:rRNA from 1 species
GACGGAGGAUGCAAGCGUUAUCCGGAAUGAUUGGGCGUAAAGCGUCCGCAGGUGGCAGUUCAAGUCUGCUGUCAAAGACCGGGGCUUAACUUCGGAAAGGCAGUGGAAACUGAACAGCUAGAGUAUGGUAGGGGCAGAGGGAAUUCCUGGUGUAGCGGUGAAAUGCGUAGAUAUCAAGGAGGAACACCGAUGGCGAAGGCAGGUCUCUGGGCCGAUACUGACGCUGAGGAGCGAAAGCGUGGGGAGCGAACAGGA